rnacentral:rRNA from 1 species
CUACGGGGUGCUCCAGUGAGGAAUAUUGCACAAUGGGGGGAACCCUGAUGCAGCAACGCCGCGUGGAGGAUGACGCAUUUCGGUGUGUAAACUCCUUUUAUAUGUCAAGAAAAUGACGGUAGCAUAUGAAUAGGCACCGGCUAACUCCGUGCCGGCAGCCGCGGUAAUACGGAGGGUGCAAGCGUUACUCGGAAUCACUGGGCGUAAAGGACGCGUAGGCGGGUUGGAAAGUCAGGUGCGAAAUCCUACAGCUUAACUGUAGAACUGCACUUGAAACUUCUAAUCUAGAGUAUGGGAGGGGGAGAUGGAAUUAGUGGUGUAGGGGUAAAAUCCGUAGAUAUCACUAGGAAUACCUAAAGCGAAGGCGAUCUCCUGGAACAUUACUGACGCUAAGGCGUGAAAGCGUGGGGAGCAAACAGGAUUAGAUACCCCAGUAGUC